AGUUGGCUGCGCUCCACCAGUAAGGGUUCUCGAGCCCCCGGGCAGCCUGCGGGGGGCAGCGAGGCGCAAAGACCAUGCCCCAAGUGCCGAGGGAAAGUCCUGAGAUGCGCGACUUGGGACGCUAGGGGCCAAGCUCCGACGCGGGGCUGGGUGCACCUGGACGCACCUCACACGCCGCGAGCUAAGCAGAAAAGGGAGGCAGGCUGCCCCGACACCCCACUACUCACCGCUAGGUUUCCGUCUGGCGCCGAUCCGGCUGCGUCACGCCGGCCGAACGACACCCCGCUGAGUCGCCGCCGCAGGGAAGGUACCUUCGGCCCCAACGGGAAAAGCCAAUUUCCAGUAAUUCGCGCCCGACCACCGGGGAGUGAAUGUUUCCCUCUGAGGAUGAAGAUCACUAUAAACAACUCUGAUGAGAUCAUGCUGACACAAUGCCCCUUCUGUCAAAGCCAUGGAUCCAAUUGUUGAAGGCUACAAAAAUAAGG
rnacentral:lncRNA from 1 species